GACGAACGCUGGCGGCGUGCUUAACACAUGCAAGUCGAGCGGAAAGGUCCUUCGGGGUCCUCGAGCGGCGAACGGGUGAGUAACACGUGAGUAACCUGCCCCAGACUUUGGGAUAACCCUCGGAAACGGGGGCUAAUACCGGAUACGACACAGCUUCGCAUGGGGUCUGUGUGGAAAGUUUUUCGGUUUGGGAUGGGCUCGCGGCCUAUCAGCUUGUUGGUGGGGUGAUGGCCUACCAAGGCGACGACGGGUAGCCGGCCUGAGAGGGCGACCGGCCACACUGGGACUGAGACACGGCCCAGACUCCUACGGGAGGCAGCAGUGGGGAAUAUUGCACAAUGGGCGGAAGCCUGAUGCAGCGACGCCGCGUGAGGGAUGACGGCCUUCGGGUUGUAAACCUCUUUCAGCAGGGACGAAGCGUAAGUGACGGUACCUGCAGAAGAAGCGCCGGCCAACUACGUG
rnacentral:rRNA from 1 species